GACGAACGCUGGCGGCGUGCUUAACACAUGCAAGUCGAACGGAAAGGCGCUGCUGUUGUGGGGUGCUCGAGUGGCGAACGGGUGAGUAACACGUGAGUAACCUGCCCUUGACUUUGGGAUAACUUCAGGAAACUGGGGCUAAUACCGGAUAGGAGCUCCUGCUGCAUGGUGGGGGUUGGAAAGUUUCAGCGGUUGGGGAUGGUCUCGCGGCUUAUCAGCUUGUUGGUGGGGUAGUGGCUUACCAAGGCUUCGACGGGUAGCCGGCCUGAGAGGGUGACCAGCCACAUGGGGACUGAGGUACGGCCCAGACUCCUACGGGAGGCAACGGUGGGAAGUAUUACACAGUGGGCGGGAGCCUGAUGCAGCAGCGCCGCGUUCGGAAUGACGGCCUUCUGGUUAUGAACCGCUUUCGCCUGUGACGAAGCGUGAGUGACGGUAAUGGGUAAAGAAGCACCGGCUAACUACGUG
rnacentral:rRNA from 1 species